rnacentral:misc_RNA from 1 species
CCAAGUGGAAAACCAAACACUUGGACAGCUGAACAUCUACAAUGCUGUCUCCGUCCGAAAGCAGACGUUGGCCGGAGGAACAAAUUGGCUUGUAAAGGUGAACGUUGGAAACGAUUUCAUUCACCUGAUGAUCAAUCAAAUGGAAGGUGCUCAAGUCAAUCAACCACCGGCGUUGACGGGUCUACAGCAAGGACAUCUUGCCGAUGAUCCACUUGCACCGUUCUGAAUAAACCCUCUGAUAGAGAGUUUUUACUUUUAAAUAGACAACUAGUAAUUAUUCGAUUUUCCUCCUAAUCAAUGAAGAUAACUGUUGAUUUAAAUUGUUGUGUAGUGUAAUUUCAAAGAAUAAAUGGAACGUAUUGCAAUA